rnacentral:lncRNA from 1 species
GGGUGUAGUCUAUGAAAUCUUUUUUGUGGAGGUCUCGAAAGCAAGCAGCCUCCUCAGUGACUUCCGAAUGGCUCUUUCUUAGCCGGUGAAGUUCGUCAUCCAGCUUCUUAGAUUUUUUCGUCAAGAGAUGAACUUUCCUUCUGAGGUCCCGGAUCAUCGACUUCAGAGGAAUCUCCUGUGGUAGGGGAAGAGCUUCGAUAGG